rnacentral:piRNA from 1 species
UUGGAGGUGUCAUCGAGGGAGUCCUCUC